AACAAACAUACAAAAAUACAAAAGAAAAAGAAAGUAAACUUUUUCCCAAAAAUUCAAACUCAAAGGAAAGUUAGUACAAGCAAACACAAAAACCAUUAAGGAAGAAUAGAGAAGAACAAGCAAGAAAUCAAUUUCUCAGAAAAAGAGCAAAAACAAGAAUAUAAUAUAGCUAACAGCAAAACGGCGGGCGCAGUCAGUUGGAGAAGAAGAAGCAUAUUAAAUCAUCAUCAGUCACAAAAACAAUAACAACAGCAAGAGCAUACCCAUAAGAGUGCAACCAAAUCAUCAUCAGAAGCGUCGCUUUCAUAGCGUCAACGCAACUCACACACACACACAGACGCACACACAUACAUCCAUACACCAGCCAGCCACCAAAAUGGACGAGACACAACAUUUCUGUUUACGCUGGAACAAUUACCAAAGCAGCAUAACAUCGGCAUUUGAGAAUCUGCGCGACGAUGAGGAUUUUGUCGAUGUGACAUUGGCGUGUGAAGGGCGCAGCAUCAAAGCGCAUCGCGUCGUCUUGUCAGCGUGCAGUCCAUAUUUUCGAGAUUUACUAAAGAGCACACCUUGCAAACAUCCAGUGAUCCUCCUGCAGGACGUCAAUUUUCUCGAUUUACACUCGCUGGUGGAAUUUAUCUAUCAUGGCGAGGUAAAUGUUCAUCAAAAAUCUUUGCAGUCCUUCCUUAAAACGGCAGAGGUACUUCGAGUUUCCGGACUCACACAACAACAGGCCGAGGAAACACAUAGUCAAUUAGCUCAAAUACAAAAUCUGGCGAAUGCUGCCAAUGCCACACGUACACCACUCAAUUCGCUCCACAGUUCGCUGUUGGAUGAGCCGCCACUAUAUCCACGCAACAGCGGCUCACCACCACCACCGGCUCCACCCCAACAAAUCCCCUAUGCAUCCACACACAUCAACAGUCAGCUGUUCAAACGCAGCAUGGCUAUGCUCAGACGGGAGCGCAACAACAGCACACCAUCGGCGGAGGACUCGAAUAAUGCCAUGAAACGUAUACGUGGACCUGAUAACGGUUUGCCGUCGAGCAAUAAUAACAGCCCCGAAAUUAUACAUACACGUAGCGCAUCACCGCAAUUGACACCGGCCGAUUUCUCAACCAUCAAACAUAAUAACAACAAUACACCGCCAAUGAAGGAAGAGAAACGCAAUGGACCCACUGGCAAUAACGGUAAUACUGGCAAUGGCAAUAGCGAAACUGGUAAUGGUAACGGGAUCGCUAAUAGUGACAAAGUGGGCAGUGCUAGCCUAACCCCUUCUCCACUAGCUCGCACUGUUGACGAUGUGAAAUCGGAACCCAUGGAACUGGUCUGCUCGAAUAACAAUCCAACAGUGGUCGAUGAGCAUAGCAAUGAUUCGACUGGUGAGCAUGAGGCGAAUCGGUCUAGUAGCGGCGAUGGCGGCAAAGGUUCAUUGAGCUCGGGAAACGAUGAGGAAAAUGAUAACAAUAUGCCACCACAUCCUCCACCGCCAUAUCUGAUGUCACCGGCAGAGAGCAAACUUUUUUCACCGGCCACAUUCAAUUUUCCCAUGGGCGGUCUGGAUCCUGCAGCGUUAGCUGGUUUUAACUCACAACUGCAGUCUGCCGCCGAAAUAUCAGUUUCUCCACAAGGACAUUCACCUAAGAAACUCUUCUCAUGUCAUCUGUGUGGUAAGCUUCUCUGCUCGAAAGCCUCACUCAAACGUCACAUUGCCGAUAAGCAUGCCGUACGUCAAGAGGAAUAUCGCUGUAUCAUCUGUGAGCGGGUCUAUUGCUCGCGCAACUCCCUGAUGACACACAUUUACACAUACCACAAGUCACGGCCGGGCGAGAUGGAGAUGAAGGAUAUCAAAUUGUAUCAUCCAUUUAAUUCGUCAAUAUGAAACGCGAUGCGUAAUUUAUAUCAAAACUGUAAUAUGCCAUCGGUAACAAUCGCCGCUAUGCCAGCAAUUGCUGAAAGCCCAAUGCCGCCAAUAAUUGAUAAUAUUUAUAAUAAUAAACUGCAAGCUAAGUCAACAGCAACAACUACUAUAACAAGAAUGAAAGGCUCUCUCUCGGAAUUUGGUACGAGAGAGACCGGCUUAAAUGCUGUUCAAGAAAUGAGUCGAAUAUCGAAUGAGCGAUUUAAUUAUGGUGAAAUGCCGAAACAACAGCAACAACAACAACAGCAGCAGCAACAAAUUUACCAAUAUCAACGACAACAAUGCUACCUCUAUGCUGAUUACCAUCGCCCACAGCCUGCUGGCGAUGGUUCAGUUAAACACUUACAAAUGCAAGCGCAACAACAUACACACUCCGAAGGAACCCAACAUUCUCGCCAAGAAGAUGCAUUCCAUUUGCAGAAUCUCAUUAAACAACGACAAAUAAUGUCUUUAUAUGACUAUUACAUGUACCAACGUCACUCUCCAUCACCGACGAAGACAGCACUGACAACUACAAAAGAGCAACCCAUAAAUGCCAUGACAAAAACAUUUGAAAAAAACUUUAACUUAGACACGAACUGUGGUCGGGUGGCUUGAUUUAAACGACAAAUGACAUAACUAGAUUUAGAAUUAGAAUUACCACAAGUUAAUUAGAUAAAUAAUCAUUUUGAAAGCAAUGCCAUAAAUUAGUGAUAACUGUAAACUUUAGAACUUAGCGACACUUGCUUUUACAUAUAUGUACAUGCAAGUCUCCAACAUGUUUGCAUACAAGCACGCGUACAAACUUAUACAUAACGCUAACGAAAGUAUAUCCAUAACAUGAACUCAUACAAAUAUAUAUAUUGAAAUUAACGAACGAUUGCCUCUUUGAGCUUAAAUAAUUAUAUAAACAUACAUACAAAUAAAUAUAUGUAUGCAUAUAUAUAUAAUCAAAGUUUAGCAUAAUUUCUCAUCUAAGGUAAAUCUCUAAGGCAAAGCUCUCUAAAACUCUAAACGAAAACUGCUCAACUAUUCAAAUAUUCACACAAAAGUUUUUAUUAGACUAAGUUUACAUUUAUAGACGCAUUCUUGUAGGAACUUACAAACGCAUAUAUUUAUAAGAGCCUAACUUUACAAAUAUAUAGUCAAAUGAACGGAAGAAAUCGUAUAAUACGUACUCGUAAUCUAAUAAAGCGACUUUUUCGCAACGAACUUUUUUAUUCUAAACGCAACUCGCAAAACUACCCACUGUGGCCUUUCAUUGUGUCUAAACAUUUCUAAAUAUAGUCAAUCCACAACUCUCGUGCACUUUGCACAUUUUUUUGCAACUAAGAACUAGGCGAAAAUAUUUCUACUUAAUAAGACUUAGACAAUUGUCGGAAUUUUUGGAAGUGAAGAAAUAUACAAGACAAAUCCUUAAACAAUAAAAGCCUAGUUAUAAAAACAGCAUCGAAACAAAAGACUCAAGCGCCGAACUUCAGCACAACGCCUCAAGUAAGCUACAUUCUUCGACUUUAUACCUCGCCGAGUCAGCCCGAGUGUUAGAGAUAUAUGUGUGUAUGUGUACAUCAGUGGAGCAAAAACGCGUGUAAUCCAUUUCAUUUGUGAUUAUAAAAAGUAUGACAUUUACAAAAUGAAAAACAAAAAACAGAAAAGAAACUCGUUCUCGCUCCCUCACCCAAUCCCAAGUACAAAUACAAAAAAACUUAUCGUUCCAACUUCACUAAAGCCUAUGGACCCCUUUAAUGCCGUGGAAUAGUGAGCAACACAAUGCGAAAACCAAUUGCUUGAAGAUUUCAUCGUCAAGGUGCACAUUGUACUAUACGCUCAGCAGCUACUUCGCCAACAAGUUCUACCUCAGCACCACCCUCACCGCCCA
rnacentral:misc_RNA from 1 species